rnacentral:lncRNA from 1 species
GUCAGUUUGGGUCUCGCGUCUGGAAUCACCGUCAAGGAGUCAGAUCCAGCCCCGGAGAGGGAGCAGGGUCGAGGUCUCCUUGCAGAAGGCGCCACCGCAGGAAGCACAGGCGCAACGUGCGGUCUCCCUAGCGGAGGCGCUCGCGAUCCUGCAGCCGCCGGUCCGGGAGGUGCUCGGUAGCCCUCCUUGGUGCCUGUCCGGUAGCUGGUCACUCUCGGGGGAAGGUCGUGUGCAGAAGGGCACAUGCGAUCACACAGAGACGGCGUUGCUGCGGCUUUGACCCGAUGGUGCACCCGAAAGAACACAGAGGGUGAAGGGAGAGAUCCAGGAAGUGGUCGCGGAGCAGAACCCCCCUUCACUUCAGUUAAAAAGGUGGCCCUAUUUGGAAAGAAGAGGUGGCCUGGAGAGGUGAUAAAUCCAUCCAAGGGUUUCAAAGCCAGAGGAGAUAAAAGAAAUUUGUUCCCCUUGCAAAGAUGAAAAUCAGAUUUGCCCUGGUUUUGGUUAAUCGAAGUAUUGAUACGUUUUUCCUUAUUUAAUUUUAUUUUUUAAUUACCUCCAGUUCCAU